rnacentral:rRNA from 1 species
CCUACGGGUGGCUGCAGUGGGGAAUAUUGGACAAUGGGCGAAAGCCUGAUCCAGCCAUGCCGCGUGUGUGAAGAAGGCCUUCGGGUUGUAAAGCACUUUCAGUGGGGAAGAAAGCCUUGGGGCUAAUACCCUCGAGGAAGGACAUCACCCACAGAAGAAGCACCGGCUAACUCCGUGCCAGCAGCCGCGGUAAUACGGAGGGUGCGAGCGUUAAUCGGAAUUACUGGGCGUAAAGCGCGCGUAGGCGGUCUGAUAAGCCGGUUGUGAAAGCCCCGGGCUCAACCUGGGAACGGCAUCCGGAACUGUCAGGCUAGAGUGCAGGAGAGGAAGGUAGAAUUCCAGGUGUAGCGGUGAAAUGCGUAGAGAUCGGGAGGAAUACCAGUGGCGAAGGCGGCCUUCUGGACUGACACUGACGCUGAGGUGCGAAAGCGUGGGUAGCAAACAGGAUUAGAUACCCUUGUAGUC